rnacentral:antisense_RNA from 1 species
GCCUGCCGCCAACCAUGUAAGACGUGACUUGCUUCUCCUUGCCUUCUGCCAUGAUUGUGAGGACUCCCCAGCCAUGUGGAACUGUACAGACAGUGCAAAGGUGGUGUGCCUAGUGAGCUUGGAUGUAUCAAACAGCUGUAAGAAAAUCUCUCCAACCUUCUCUGAAUAAAGGAGGAAUGUGGUGUUUAUUGAGGAAUAGGCAACCCUUACAUUCGAAUAAAAGAUGCCAUAUACUGAAAGUGGACUCACAGAGGGCUGUGUUCCAGUGGACAUGUUAUUCAUUCCGUCUAAGCAGAAGGAUUCCCAACCUCACUUACUAACUAGCUGAAGAAACGUUUCCCUAGAGAUUUCAUUCCAAAUGGUAGGUUCCCUAAGGCACACCUAAGCUAGCAGGCAAUCUUUUUUUCCAUGUCCAUCUCAUUAUAUUCUAGGAAUUAAAGUUCAAAAUCUGUUUUUUAAUGUUUAACAUACCCUGUAAGGAGGAACACUAUUUAAGGACAACAGAUUAUCUUGAUUACUUAUAUGCAAUGUGUAUACUGCUAUUUUUUUCUUUUUAAAUCAAAUAAGUAACUAACUAUCCUUUAAGGGGGGAACAACCUACUACAAAAAUAAGAGCUUUCCAGGUAGAAAAAUCAGACAAGUGAAUGAAUUAAAACUUCAUUCCACCCAAGCCUUCAUGUAUAGAUCAGGAAAACACAGUAUUUAGCAACGAAAGAUCUUACUGAGC